UGGUUUUGGUCUUCGGCGGCUGGAACAGAAAUCACGACAUUAUUAGGGCCGCUUUCUGUGAGCUAACCCGGCUAACAGCCUCCACACGAAGCCGCUACCUGGCUGCUGCUAAGCUAACAUCCUAACUUCAGCCCAUAGAGGUACAGUAACAUCCCUGCUGCUAAGCUAACAUGCUAACUUCAGCCCAUAGAGGUACAGUAACAUCCCUGCUGCUAAGCUAACAUCCUAACUUCAGCCCAUAGAGGUACAGUAACAUCCCUGCUGCUACGCUAACAUGCUAACUUCAGCCCAUAGAGGUACAGUAACAUCCCUGCUGCUAAGCUAACAUCCUAACUUCAGCCCAUAGAGGUACAGUAACAUCCCUGCUGCUAAGCUAACAUCCUAACUUCAGCCCAUAGAGGUACAGUAACAUCCCUGCUGCUAAGCUAACAUCCUAACUUCAGCCCAUAGAGGUACAGUAACAUCCCUGCUGCUACGCUAACAUGCUAACUUCGCUCCACAGCGGCACAGUAACCAGCGGUUACCGGUUAAACUAACGUACUCUCACC